CCUUCUCUCAAUCGGCACUCUCAAAACAUCUGGCACGGUGUUCACUACCCUAAUAAGACCUCAGCUUCCCUCGGGAGGGGACAUAACAAUAUAGGAAGAGUGAACCACACACCUAUCAAGGGGCACAAGAAACUUUAAUAGUGGAGGAAAGUUUGGACUCGGAAACUCAAGAACAAUAUUUGGCAUGUCAAGGAGAAUAUCAUGUAUGUCCUUAGCAUAAUGUGCUUGAUUUUACUACUCUCUCACCCUGAAGCCCCUUCAUUUGUCUGGACUGCUAAAAACUAGAGAAACUGGCUCACGCCUGUCAUCCCAGCACUUUGGGAGGCCGAGGCAGGCGGAUCACCUGAGGUCAGGAGUUUGAGACCAGCCUGACCAACAUGGUGAAACCCCUACUAAAAAAUAAAAAUAAAUAAAAA
rnacentral:lncRNA from 10 species